rnacentral:tRNA from 1 species
GAAUUUAGUUUAAGAGAAAAAACACUUGAUUUGCAAUCAAUAACUCUAAGUUUAAAUCUUAGAAUUCACA